UAGGGAAUCUUCGGCAAUGGGGGCAACCCUGACCGAGCAACGCCGCGUGAGUGAAGAAGGUUUUCGGAUCGUAAAGCUCUGUUGUAAGAGAAGAACGUGUGUGAGAGUGGAAAGUUCACACAGUGACGGUAACUUACUAGAAAGGGACGGCUAACUACGUGCCAGCAGCCGCGGUAAUACGUAGGUCCCGAGCGUUUUCCGGAUUUAUUGGGCGUAAAGCGAGCGCAGGCGGUUUAAUAAGUCUGAAGUUAAAGGCAGUGGCUUAACCAUUGUUCGCUUUGGAAACUGUUAAGCUUGAGUGCAGAAGGGGAGAGUGGAGGUCCAUGUGUAGCGGUGAAGUGCGUGGAUAUAUGGCGGAACACCGGUGGCGAAAGCGGCUCUCUGGUCUGUAACUGACGCUGAGGCUCGGAAGCGAGGGGAGCAAACAGG
rnacentral:rRNA from 1 species